GACGAACGCUGGCGGCGUGCUUAACACAUGCAAGUCGAACGGAAAGGCCCUGCUUUUGUUUGGUGCUCGUGUGGCGAACGGGUGAGUAACACGUGAGUAUCCUGCCCUUGACUUUGGGAUAACUUCAGGAAACUGGGGCUAAUACCGGAUAGGAGCUCCUGCUGCAUGGUGGGGGUUGGAAAGUUUCGGCGGUUGGGGAUGGACUCGCGGCUUAUCAACUUGUUGGUGGGGUAGUGGCUUACCAAGGCUUUGACGGGUAGCCGGCCUGAGAGGGUGACCGGCCACAUUGGGACUGAGAUACGGCCCAGACUCCUACGGGAGGCAGCAGUGGGGAAUAUUGCACAAUGGGCGGAAGCCUGAUGCAGCAACGCCGCGUGCGGGAUGACGGCCUUCGGGCUGUAAACCGCUUUCGCCUGUGACGAAGCGUGAGUGACGGUAAUGGGUAAAGAAGCACCGGCUAACUACGUG
rnacentral:rRNA from 1 species